rnacentral:rRNA from 1 species
AUACGUAGGGGGCGAGCGUUGUCCGGAAUGAUUGGGCGUAAAGGGCGCGUAGGCGGCCGCUUAAGUCUGGAGUGAAAGUCCUGUUUUCAAGAUGGGAAUUGCUUUGGAUACUGGGGGGCUUGAGUGCAGGAGAGGUUAUCGGAAUUCCCGGUGUAGCGGUGAAAUGCGUAGAGAUCGGGAGGAACACCAGUGGCGAAGGCGGGUAACUGGACUGCAACUGACGGUGAGGCGCGAAAGUGUGGGGAGCAAACAGGAUUAGAUACCCUGGUAGUCCACACUGUAAACGAUGAAUACUAGGUGUGCGGGGACUGACCCCCUGCGUGCCGGCGUUAACACAAUAAGUAUUCCACCUGGGGAGUACGAUCGCAAGGUUGAAACUCAAAGGAAUUGGCGGGG